rnacentral:lncRNA from 1 species
CCAACUUCUGAAUUGAGUAUUCGGAUCGAACUUUGAUGGAUAUUUUUGCCGAUUAACCUUUGAGUGUGAUCAUCAUUCAUUUCUCAGCCGACAAUACGUGUUCCUCUAGGUCAGGUUUGUUAACGUUGGUCCAACUUUGGAGGUCCAUGAUAUAUCAUGGAGCUCCAACUUCAUAACCUAAAACUGAUGAACCAAUCAGAGUGCGGCAUAGAGAUGGCAAUACUCUCCCGUAUCCAGGUACUCAAGUCGGACCUGGACGGACACGAUUCGGAGCACAGUGGUCCGGCUCACUGCUCCAGGGGGCUCGACUUUUCACCGUGCGAAGAGAGGCGCGGAAGACGGGGCACGGGAACCACCGGUUCCAGCGGCGGGGAGGGGGGGGCGUGCCCCCUCUCGGAUGGCGCUCGCCCGGACUGGACCGUUACCCGUGUAGAAUGUGGAGCUCGACUCAUUACCAGGAGGAAAACUGACUUGGUUUCGUGUUGGUUGCAUCGCGUUGGACUGGACGUGGCCGUGGCCGUGGCGUUCGCGGUCUUCGAUUUCGGGCCGAGUCCCCCGCGAAAACUUUUUUUUCGCUUUCUCCCGCCGCCACCGCGGCCGCUGCGCUGGGUGCCGCGUCACGAAUCUCUCAAGUUCGGGUACUUGCCAAGGUAUCUCCUCGCGCAGACACCUUCCAGGGCCUCAGUGUCGUGCGGUUCCCUCCGUCCACCGCCAGAACUCCUUUCUGGUUUCCUCGCCGUCUCGCCUGUCUUUAAACCAUAUGCUUUCCUUCGAAGCUGUGUCGUGCGUUACCAAUACAGGCUAUCUCUGCUUGAAUCAAGUCAUUAGUCCCAAGUGAAAAGAAUCCCUAAACCAGUAGGUAAAAUCCUAACAACAUCCCAAUAGCUGAAACAUAUCAAGUUUUGAUGAAAAUGCGAUUGAUAGUUACUCAAGUGUUUUUUCUCCAAUUUUAAUUGCUCACGAAAAGGAGGAUCUAGAGAUUCCUUCUCUCUCCGAGUACCUGAGCCGCAGGGGCCUUUCCCUUCAGAUCGUUAGAAAGUGUGGUGUACCGUAACUUAACAAUCGAUCCCAUUCGUGGACUCUCUCAUGAACAUCAAGUUCAGUGCGGUAGACAGUGUCUGUUUUCAGUUUUCGUCGGACUCUCAUGAACUUGUUUUUUUUUUAUCUGAAGAGAGAUUUAUUUAGUGAUACGCAUUCGUUUUUGUUUCAAAGUCGCCUGCGCGUGACAGAGACAGACCUGAUCACGUGUUUCCGAUCCGGUGCAGCCGCGGGUGAACGUAUCAGAUUAUUUGCUCAGCUUUGAGGUUAUGUCAAGUCGCUCGGCUCGUUGGUGGGGUCGGCCGAUGAUCGGAGUGUGAUUCCAGUGUCUCGCGGGUCGGGAUGAGCCGGAUGAUGGUGCGGCGGACUCGGUUGUGCGAGGGUCAUGGCUUCGAAUCUCGCGGUUGAGUCCGGCGAGGAGGGCGCGGGCGGCUCUUCGUCCUCGGACUACGAGGAGGACUGCUACUUCGCCUUCGUCGAGAAAUCCGAGACCCCGAGCUUCGACAUCGACGACCCGGAGUGGGUGGACGACGACGGCGACGCCUUCGAGAUCGUCGAGGGUGACGUGACGUGCGUCGGUGACGUCAUCGACCCGCAGCUCGGGGAGACGUGCCUCGUCGAGGCCGAGUUCUACAACCAGAAGCCUGGUCGCGGGAAACGGAAACCCGUCAAAGGCGUCAGGGUCAAGUUUCAGGAUCUCUCCAAGCCCUACAUCGCCCGCGUCACCAACCAAACCAACUACCACCGCUUCCUCCAGCUGGUCAAAGGUAUCCAACUUUCGAGCUCUGCCACGGGUGCGGAAAAUGCUCCGAGAAAAUUUCUUACCUGUUUUUCUUCCUAAAUUGGACUGUGUCACACUAUCAAAACUAGCCAUCAAAAUAUCAAGGUCAGGUGUUAUUAUUGGCUUAUUCGAUGCCUUGGACCAAUCACAGCACUUGACCAUGACAUUUUGAUGGAGUAUUUUAAUAGUGUGAUACCUGAUACAGGCUAACGAGAGAAAAUAUAGCGGGCCGAUUUGAAACUGUAACCUGUGUCACACUUUCAAAAUACUCCAUCAAAAUGUCAAGGUCAAGUGCUAUGAUUGGUCCAAGUCAUCGAAUCAGCCAAUCACAGCACCUGAACUUGAUAUUUUGAUGGCUAGCUUUGAUAGUGUGGCAUAGGCUUAUAUCGGCACGGCAAGAAUAGACGUAGUCCUAUCUUAACCACGCAAUGUGUCGCAUUUCCAUGUCUAAUCGGGCUGUUUUAAACUUUCAUUAAUCGGCCAUGUUCUUUAAACUUUAUUAGCUCCAGAUGUACUUUCGGCAUUUUUGUGGAGUGAGAAAAUCUUUAGCUUUGGAUUGCGCCCAAAGUUUUUGCCACAGAGAAGUGUCUUACACCUCUGUCGCCCCAAGUCGUCGGCGAACCUAACCCGAUUUCUCUCCCCCCCCCCCCCCCAUAAACAGCAAUUGGAUUACAUUUUCCAAAAAAGAGCCAUUUGUUUUGGCUCAUUUCAGAAAAAAAUGUGUGCGCCACUAGUUUCCCUUUACAGACAGAUGUUUUUAUGGGUGAGCCAGGAAUAGCAAUUCCUCAUCUCAAAAUGAAAUGACAGGAACCGCCGUACCGUCUAGUUUUUUUUUCGGAUAGGAACUUUUUGCACUCCUGCCAUAAUGUGUAGGAGCGAAGCGUAAGUUCAACUGUUAUACACUAAUGGACAGCGCCAAGCAAAAUAAUGCUAUCUUGCGUGAGGAAUCUCCAGCUCUUGUCACUAAUGAGGCCCGCUCACUCCCUGGACGCCAGGAAAGGUAUCCCAAAUUUCCCGAAAAAUGGAAAGGACUGAAUGGAGAGGGGGUGAUCGAUAAAAUAUGGCACCUGAAUCAUCGCAAUGUUGUGUCCUCGUAUCUGCAAUCUGCAUUUGGCGUCUAUUUGGUAGACGAUGCUCAGACUUUGAGCCUGGGCCUUUGAUUAAAAUAAUAAUUCGGGUCUCCGAUAAUGAUAACUGAAAAAAUCAGUGCGGCGCUUCUUGAAUGCUCAGAAUGCGCUCCAGAUUUGUUUUCUUCUCUUUAUGUUUUUCCCUGUCAGCCGACUGUAUUUUAGUGAGUUUGCAAAAUGCUAUGUGUGGAGGAAGUAAAUUCAGCGUACGUAGCUUACCUUGUUUGCAAUACCAUAUCACUGAGUGAGUUUUAUUUUUUUCUUGAUCGAAAAUCGAAUUUUGUACCGAAUGCGUCAGCGAGACUAGGCCCGGCUCUCUCGCCUUUGGUUAAAGUAUCCCUUGUCGAAGAAAAACCUGUAUAGCUAUUUUUGGGAGUUUAGGGCUUCUAUGAUACAUUUUAUGGCAUUUUCGGUUCUAAUUAAAUAGGAAACUUUGAAAAGCGUCUUAACAUCCGGCUAAAAUUUAACUGGUACUCUGAGUGCCCGACAAAUCGUAACAAGAAAAUAAAGCCGUAACAAUUAAGAGGUGAUAGAAUCUGGCCUAACGGAACCAUUCCCACCCCGCUCCAUGAUUUGUUUUAAAAUGGGUCUGGCAUUAGAGAAUGUGGGUUAAAUUCCUUUUUACCCUCCUAAAUCGUCGUAUCUCCGUCGAUAUGUGGCGCCAAAAGAGUUUACUCUCAAAGCUAACAUGUAAAAUUAUCACUCCUUUCAAUCUGCGGGUGGGCAAAAAUUAAAAAUACGCGAGAAUCGGGUCCGCUGAAUAUCGUCUGUGAAGAAUGAUGCCGACCGACAUCUACCUCGUUGCCAUUUGUUGUUGGUAGUGGUGUGACCUGCGUUUUAUGAUGGACGUACGUAGUCUGUGUGGUUGCAGUAGAGGGUUUUGAAGGCGUUUUGCGUGAAUUAGGUACCUUCGAUUCUCCGAUUAAACUUGGCGGGUAAAUCUGUUUAUGUCCGUGAUACGAUUAAAAUAUGUUGCGCUGUUUCCUCAUUUUAAGUAUAUCUUACGAUGUGAGAGCUUACCAAACUCUAUCAACGUUAGAUUCGAAAGUCACGACUGUAAUUUAAUGUGAGAGCUUCGACAAUCGCGCCUUUUCAUGCGAUAAAACAGUUCUGUCUCGUUGAUCGUUAAUCUCUCGGGGUCGUACACCUUUUUUCAUCGGAAAUAUUAAAAAUAAUUACACAUCCGUAUGUUGGAAAAGGAAACUCUUAAAAGAAGAAUUAUUAAUUUCUACAUGCACUGGGUUACUCCUUUCAAAGUCAUCUUGUAUUUACAUAACUGUGUCGCACCUUUCAGAAUUAAAAUUUAGUAUUGUUUUUACUUCAUUCUCUCGUGCCUAUCGAAGCGGUAUCCUGGAUUAAAGAGCUAAUUUAUUUAUUUUUUAUUUUAAGUGAAACUUGCCGUUGACUCUCAGGGCAUACUUUGAGGAAAAAUUGGUCUCUACAGCUCAUUAUUUUUGUCUCGAAAUUCGAAUUGAAGGUCAAGAUAUGUGACGUUAGCUAUUUGCUAACAUCUAUAAGUUAACUUAUUUGGUUAGGUAGCUACAACUAUAGGUCUCUCAAAAUCUUAAAAAUUUCACCCAAAUACUUCAUCUGUGAUACCCUUUUCCACGACAGUCCUAUUUCUGAUGAGCACGUAUGUAGUUUUUGUAAUUUAUCGCAAUUGAUACAAUUUUUGUGAAUCAUUGUUCUAAUCUAUUCAUAAACUCCAGAGUCAGAAUAAGUGCUGCGUGGUGUCAUCAUAUUCAAUAUCAACGAUAUCACAAUCUACCAUGACCCAAAGUUCGCCUUGUGAUAUCAUCACAUGAAACGGCAAUGCAUACGCAACUUCUCUCGAUUUCCUCUCUGUAAUGUCAAUAAGUAUUGCUGCUUGUGUGUUUCUCUACCAGCAGUCGACGACUACUUUUUAUUGACCAAUAGAUGAUAAACGCCCGACAUUUUUUUCCCUUCCUAUUUUUAUGUACCUUUGAAAUCGUCUGUUUAAAUAAUACAAGUUAGACCAAAGCGUGUGAAGUGUCGUAUCUGUCGGAGUGUUUUUGUACAUUAGCUGUAGAAUGUCAGAUUUGAUAGAUGGUGUGUUUCUGUUAUCAGGUGAAGACCACCCACAGACAUGCCCAACAACACAGAGCAGAUCCCAGAAGAGUUGAAAGGGCUGAAUCCUGAAGAACAAGAAAAACAAAAGGAAAUUUGGGCUAAAGAACUUGCCACAGUAAGUGUCCUUUAUAUCUCAUUCCCUCUGUUGUUGCUAAACUUAAAGCUCUAGGUGGAUACGGGCCGCCUCCAGAAUUUGAGGGACUGAGCAAGGAGGAGCAAGAAGCACUGCAAGAAGAAUGGUCAAAGAGCUUAUGACAGUAAGUCUCAUUUAAUUAUUGUAAUGAUCUGUUGUCAUGAGUGAUUUUACCCCCCCAUAACUAGACUCAAUGUCGAGCUAAAACGAUCUAAGAAACCAUCCAAAUGAAGUAGGUAAUCAUUCCACCAAUACAAUCU